UUACGGCUAUAUCAUGUUGAAACAUCACUUCCCAUACACUCACAAAAGUUAAGCAACAUCGAGCUUGGUCAGUACCUAGAUGGGUGACCAUUUGGGAAUGCCAGGUAU